UUUCUCUCUCCCUCUACCUCUCAGAAAACCUACUGAUGGAGCGAAGAUUGCAGGCUGGAUCAUUUCAAAGUGCCUUGGUCAAAGGACUUGCCCAGGAGGCAACUUAAAGCCACUGAACUUUUGGUGAUGAGCACCAGCCAUAAAUCAAAGAAGUAGAUCCCCAGGCAAGUAAAAUAUAGAAAGAAUCAGAGGCCAAGCCAGGCAAAGACCUAGAAGAUCAGUCACAACAAUUCAGAUGAGAAAUGAUGCAGCUGACGGAAGAGAGAGGCUGUGGGAGCCAACAGGCAGAAAUUUAUUGGCUCACAGUCCUGGAGGCUGGAAGUCUAAGAUCAAGGCAUCUACAUCAGAUGAGGAUCUCCUUGCUGCUUCAUUCAUCAUAUGGUGGAAGGUCAGGCAAUCAUUUCAUUUCUAUAUUUUUGUAUAAGGAACAGACAAUGACUCUCAACCAAUGCAGCUACAAAGACAAAAGAUGCCCUUCAAUGCAUCCCACAUGGCCCCUCCCCAUGCCAUCUGCCUUGUCAUGUGCAUACCCGUGCUGAGAUAAGACCUCUAUAGGCCUAAGGCACAGAUAAAUUGUUGACACCCACCCCCUUGUCUAUUCAAACACUACGUAAUUCAAAAUCCAAAUAAUGAUAAUUUCUAAAAGCAGAGUUAAGGAAAUUUCAACAUGACCUCAUUUUUUUUUCUCCUGAUCACUACAGCAAUGUGUUUUUUAACAGCAUUAUUUAGGUAAGAUGAACAUACCGUAAAAUAUAUCCAUUGGGAUUGUACGAUUCAGUGGUUUUUAGUAAAUUCAUGCAGCUAUGAAGCCAUCACUACAAUCCAGUUGCAGAAAAUACCAUCUUCUCUGAAAGCUCCCUCAGGCCCGUUUGCAUCAAUCCCUUCUACCAUUCCACCAAUCCCAUCCCUGGUCAAUUACUGAUCAGUUUUCUGUCUCUAAAGAUUUACCUUUUUCAGAAUUUUAUAUAAAUAGAAUCAUGAAGUGUAUGGCUAUUAGUGUCUGUUAAUGUAGUUUUUGCCUUUGUGUUUUGAAAUAAUUACAGAUUCACAGAAAGUUGCACAAGCGUAACAAUGAGGUCUCAUUUAUACUUCACCCUAUCUCUCCUAAUGGCGACAUCUUAUGUAACUAUAGUAACAAUAUCAAAAUCAGGUAUUUGCAUUGGUACAAUGUGUGUAUAUAGUUCUAUGUCAUUUUAUUACAUGUGUUGGAUAACAUGCAUAGAUUUGUAUUACAUGUGUAGACUUUGUCAUUUUGAGAAUGUUAUGUGAAUGAAAUCAUGCAAUAAAUGACUUUUUAAAUUUAA
rnacentral:lncRNA from 1 species